UACAGGCUUAACACAUGCAAGUCGAGGGCAGCGGGGUAGCAAUACCCGCCGGCGACCGGCGCACGGGUGAGUAACGCGUAUGCAACCUGCCGAUAACUCGGGGAUAGCCUUUCGAAAGAAAGAUUAAUAUCCGAUAGUAUAUUAAAACCGCAUGGUUUUACUAUUAAAGAAUUUCGGUCAUCGAUGGGGAUGCGUUCCAUUAGGUUGUUGGCGGGGUAACGGCCCACCAAGCCUUCGAUGGAUAGGGGUUCUGAGAGGAAGGUCCCCACAUUGGAACUGAGACACGGUCCAAACUCC
rnacentral:rRNA from 1 species